UACGGGGGGGGUAAGCGUUGUUCGGAAUUACUGGGCGUAAAGGGCUCGUAGGCGGCCAACUAAGUCAUACGUGAAAUCCCUCAGCUUAACUGGGGAACUGCGUGUGAUACUGGAUGGCUUGGAUUUGGGAGAGGGAUGCGGAAUUCCAGGUGUAGCGGUGAAAUGCGUAGAUAUCUGGAGGAACACCGGUGGCGAAGGCGGCAUCCUGGACCGAGAUUGACGCUGAGGCGCGAAAGCUAGGGUAGCAAACGGG
rnacentral:rRNA from 1 species